rnacentral:rRNA from 1 species
UGGGGAAUAUUGCACAAUGGGCGCAAGCCUGAUGCAGCGACGCCGCGUGAGGGAUGACGGCCUUCGGGUUGUAAACCUCUUUCAAUAGGGACGAAGCGCAAGUGACGGUACCUAUAGAAGAAGGACCGGCCAACUACGUGCCAGCAGCCGCGGUAAUACGUAGGGUCCGAGCGUUGUCCGGAAUUACUGGGCGUAAAGAGCUCGUGGGUGGUUUGUCGCGUUGUUCGUGAAAACUCACAGCUCAACUGUGGGCGUGCGGGCGAUACGGGCAGACUUGAGUACUGCAGGGGAGACUGGAAUUCCUGGUGUAGCGGUGGAAUGCGCAGAUAUCAGGAGGAACACCGGUGGCGAAGGCGGGUCUCUGGGCAGUAACUGACGCUGAGGAGCGAAAGCGUGGGGAGCGAACAGGAUUAGAUACCCUGGUAGUCCACGCCGUAAACGGUGGGUACUAGGUGUGGGUUUCCUUCCUUGGGAUCCGUGCCGUAGCUAACGCAUUAAGUA